rnacentral:misc_RNA from 1 species
UACGGAGGAUCCAAGCGUUAUCCGGAUUCAUUGGGUUUAAAGGGUGCGUAGGCGGAAUAGUAAGUCAGUGGUGAAAGCCCGCAGCUUAACUGCGGAACUGCCAUUGAUACUGCUAAUCUUGAGUACAUUUGAAGUGGGCGGAAUAUGACAUGUAGCGGUGAAAUGCUUAGAUAUGUCAUAGAACACCGAUUGCGUAGGCAGCUCACUAAACUGUUACUGACGCUGAGGCACGAAAGCGUGGGGAUCAAACAGG